GUGGGGAAUAUUGGACAAUGGGCGAAAGCCUGAUCCAGCCAUGCCGCGUGUGUGAAGAAGGUCUUCGGAUUGUAAAGCACUUUAAGUUGGGAGGAAGGGCAGUAAGUUAAUACCUUGCUGUUUUGACGUUACCGACAGAAUAAGCACCGGCUAACUUCGUGCCAGCAGCCGCGGUAAUACGAAGGGUGCAAGCGUUAAUCGGAAUUACUGGGCGUAAAGCGCGCGUAGGUGGUUUUGUAAGUUGGAGGUGAAAUCCCCGGGCUCAACCUGGGAACUGCCUCCAAAACUGCAUGACUAGAGUACGGUAGAGGGUAGUGGAAUUUCCUGUGUAGCGGUGAAAUGCGUAGAUAUAGGAAGGAACACCAGUGGCGAAGGCUACUACCUGGACUGAUACUGACACUGAGGUGCGAAAGCGUGGGGAGCAAACAGGAUUAGAUACCCCGGUAGUCC
rnacentral:rRNA from 1 species